UCAAACUUUCUACCAUGAUUAUAGAGUUACUUUGAUCGAUUCCUAACUUAAGUAGCUGAACUUCCCUAUCCUUCACUUAAUCUAUAACCCUUUAAAAAGUGGGAGUAAAAUCACUAUAGCUUAUCUACAGUAAAAAUAAAAACGCUUCGUUUCCUUUUUCCUGUCAUUGGCACUUCUGUGGUCUCUCCCCUCAAAUAUCCCCUUUUUCUGCCAUGGAUGGAGAGUGAAGACACCAGCAAGCAACCUCACAUCUUCGCCAACUCUGAAUUUUCUUCUGGCGUGCAAUAGGAUCGAGAAAGUUUCGGAUACGUGUACUUUGCAAGUUAGAAAAAGUAUAUUGGAGCAACCCUGGAAGACUGGAAUCGAGUAGGCCGGGUAGUCUAAAGUAUAGGUGUUGUAAUGGAAAUUAUCUUGCGUAGGAAACUAACGCGAAUGUCACAAAAGCACGAAAGGGUUGUUACAAACCUAUCCAUUAUAAGGUGUUGUAUUGUACUUGCUUCACCAUAUGCUCCGUUUAAAAUUAAUAAGAAGUCUUAAUGCUACCAAAGGCGAAUAUAUAGCAUUUUUUGUUAUUUUGGCAAAAGAAGAACACGUUGGAGAAUACAAGUCCUAUACUUUUUUUUAAUUUAUC